rnacentral:rRNA from 1 species
CAGUCGCCGCGGUAAUACGGAGGGUGCAAGCGUUAUCCGGAUUCACUGGGUUUAAAGGGUGCGUAGGCGGAUCUGUAAGUCCGUGGUGAAAUCUCCAGGCUUAACCUGGAAACUGCCAUGGAUACUAUAGAUCUUGAAUGUUGUGGAGGUUAGCGGAAUAUGUCAUGUAGCGGUGAAAUGCAUAGAUAUGACAUAGAACACCAAUUGCGAAGGCAGCUGGCUACACAAAUAUUGACGCUGAGGCACGAAAGCGUGGGGAUCAAACAGGAUUAGAUACCCCCGUAGUCCCUGUCUCUUAUAA